rnacentral:rRNA from 1 species
UACGGGGGGGGGCAAGCGUUGUUCGGAAUUACUGGGCGUAAAGAGCGCGCAGGCGGUCGUUCAAGUCGAGUGUGAAAGCCCCCGGCUCAACUGGGGAGGGUCAUUCGAUACUGAUCGACUCGAAGGCAGGAGAGGGAAGCGGAAUUCCCGGUGUAGUGGUGAAAUGCGUAGAUAUCGGGAGGAACACCAGUGGCGAAGGCGGCUUCCUGGCCUGUUCUUGACGCUGAGGCGCGAAAGCUAGGGGAGCAAACGGG